rnacentral:lncRNA from 1 species
UUUAAUCAAUACCAUUGGAUUUAGGGAAUUCAUGAAAUAUAUAUUUCAUCUCCCAAAAUGAAUGAAUAGUAUUGAUCAGGUGCAAUUCCUUCUAUGAUCAAUUUGGGUUUCUACUUACCCCUUCCGUCUUCAUCUUCAUCUCUAUUCUUUUCCAAUCCAUCAUUGACCAAUGAUUUCUUUAAUGUCUAAAUGCUAGUUGAUUCAUCAAUGACCUUGUGUCAGAUGAAUCAACAUAAGUCUG